rnacentral:rRNA from 1 species
GAUGAACGCUGGCGGCGUGCCUAAUACAUGCAAGUCGAGCGAACAGACGAGGAGCUUGCUCCUCUGACGUUAUCGGCGGACGGGUGAGUAACACGUGGAUAACCUACCUAUAAGACUGGGAUAACUUCGGGAAACCGGAGCUAAUACCGGAUAAUAUAUUGAACCGCAUUGUUCAAUAGUGAAAGACGGUUUUGCUGUCACUUAUAGCUGGAUCCGCGCCGCAUUAGCUAGUUGGUAAGGUAACGGCUUACCAAGGCGACGAUGCGUAGCCGACCUGAGAGGGUCGUCGCCCACACUGGCACUGAGACACGGCCCAGACUCCUACGGGGGGCCGCAGUAGGGACUCUUACGCGAUGGACGAGUGCCUGACGGAGCACCGCCGCGUGAGGGAUGAAGCUCUUCGGCUCGUAAAGCUAUGUAAUUAGGGAGGAACAAAUGUGUAAGUAACUAUGCACGUAUUGACGGUACCUAAUCAGAAAGCCCCGGCUAACUCCGUG